GCUUCUUCUGGUCAUGCUUCCCCUCGUACUCAGCCGACAGCUCGUAGCACUCUUGUACCGUUUCUCUGAGAUCCACACCGUGGAGGUCCUGGAGGAUGUCGAGGAAGCGAUCGAGGAGGAGGGCGUCGUACUCGACGAGCUUGUCGUCAUCGGAGAGCUUCCCCGGCGCCAGCAGCCGCAGCUGGGAGUCGAUCGACGCCAUCUUCUGCACCGAACUCCGUGACAUCUCGCCGGCUCGUUCAGUCAGUCAAAAUGUUCGGAUCGAGAAGCCGAA
rnacentral:misc_RNA from 1 species